rnacentral:rRNA from 1 species
AACGAACGCUGGCGACAGGCUUAACACAUGCAAGUCGAACGCCACCUUCGGGUGGAGUGGCAGACGGGUGAGUAACGCGUGGAAACAUACCUUUUGCUUCGGAAUAUUCUCGGGAAACUGGGAGCAAUACCGAAUGUGCCCUGAGGGGGAGAGAUUUAUCGGCAAAAGAUUCGUCCGCGUUAGAUUAGGUAGUUGGUAGGGUAAAGGCCUACCAAGCCUACGAUCUAUAGCUGGUCUGAGAGGAUGAUCAGCCACAUUGGGACUGAGACACGGCCCAAACUCCUACGGGGGGCAGCAGUGGGGAAUAUUGGACAAUGGGCGCAAGCCUGAUCCAGCCAUGCCGCGUGAAUGAUGAAGGCCUUAGGGUUGUAAAAUUCUUUCACCGGGGACGAUAAUGACGGUACCCGGAGAAGAAGCCCCGGCUAACUUCGUGCCAGCAGCCGCUGUAA